AUCAGAUAUGACGAAACAGAAAGUGCUAAACCGCCCGACCGCUUCCUGCGAAAAAAAAGUUACAAAGUACGCUCAUCACGAUCAUCUGAACAACAGUCGACCACGUUGAAAGGCUACAAGAAGGAAACACACAAAGAGAUGACAGUCGAUGGAAAAUGUAUGAACGCAUGAAGCUGGUGGUUUUGAGGCCGCUACAAGACAACAUAUUCACCACAAAUCAUUCAGAGCCGACAACAUCGAACACUUUCUGUAUCUUAAGUGAACAGGUGGGGGCCGUGAUUGCUUCCCGGAAUUGCUCAGUCAUUCACAAGCAAAGACGGGGCGAGGUUCACCUCUUUGUCAACAAGUGCGGGAGAAAAUAGUCCACCAGUUUAAGGGCAAUGUUCCUCAACGUACAACUGCAAGGAAUUGAGGGAUUUCAUCAUCUACGGUCCAUAUCAUCAUCGAAAGGUUCAGAGAAUCACUCCGUGUUAGCGGCACGGCUGAAAACCAACAUUGAAUGCCCGUGACCUUCGAUCCCUCAGGCGCCAGUGCAUCAAAAACUGACAUCAAUGUGUAAAGGAUAUCACCACAUGGGCUCAGGAACACUUCAGAAAACCGAUGUCAGUAAAUACAGUUCGGCGCUACAUCCGUAAGUGCAACUUGAAAGUCUACUAUGCAAAGCAAAAGCCAUUUAGCAACAACACCCAGAAACGCCGCCGGCUUCUCUGGGCCCGAGCUCAUCUAAAAUGGACUGAUGCAAAGUGGAAAAGUGUUCUGUGGUCCGACGAGUCCACAUUUCAAAUUGUUUUGGGAAAUUGUGGACGUCAUACAAGUCCUCCGGGCCAAAGAGGAAAAGAACCAUCUGGACUGUUGUGGACGCAAAGUUCAAAAUCCAGCAUCUGUGAUGACAUGGGUAACUUACCCAUCUGUGAAGACACCAGUAAUGCUGAAAGCAAGACAACGCCAAACCACAUUCUGCACGUGGCUUCGUAGUAAAAGAGUGCGGGUACUAGACUGGACUGCCUCCCAUUGAAAAUGUGUGGCGCAUUAUGAAGCGAUAAAUACGACAACGGAGACCCCGGAC